rfam:Canis lupus familiaris chromosome 10, whole genome shotgun sequence.
UGUGUGGCUUCCUGUACAUAUGCCCCAUGCCCCGUGUGGCCGGGGUCACUCUGUGCCGGCACUGUGGCUUUUGUCAGCAUCUGGACAACUGGGCC